GUUUUUGUGUGUGUGUGUGUGUCAUGUACCGUGUCGGACUGGAGGAAAAACCGUGGCUGAGAGUGCACCUUCUGCUUUGGCAAACUCUUGUAUGACGUUGUGUUGUCAGGAAUGUUAAGGACAAUGCAUUUAUGUAGCUUAUGAAGAUGACUCUUCACAUUUGAAACAGUGUGUUCUUAUAAACAAGCAUAUUAUAGUAAACUACAGAGUGUUACAUUCAUUUCAAAGAAUACUCGCUGUCAUCCCGUGUUACGGGGAAAUGCAAUCAAAGAACUGUCAGUUUUGGCAAAAAACGUUGGUGUUAACCUGUGACACAUGGGUUGUUAGGCUGAGCUGGCAAGUCACGGAUCAGGUCCCGCUUGGACUUGAGUUGUUGUCGUGUGGGUAGACGUCAGGAAUGCCAGAACACCAGAGAAUUCCAGCUCCAGCUGCUAACAUCAAAGAAAUUAAACACCAGCAAUACCACCACCACCAGAUUUUCUUGUCGUUUAGCAUUCUUUAAAGACAAAGAUUUUUUUUUUCGUCUUCAUAGAGAAGGAAUGAGUGUUUUCUAUCUUCAGCUUUCUCUCCCUUCUGACUGUAUUCAAAAGUUGGUAGUUUCUGAGAGAGUAGGAGGAUAAUUUGAUGUUUCCCUCCCUUGGAGAUAGGGUCUCAUUAAGUAGCCCUGCUCACCUGACCCUCUGCAGAUCACAGUGGCCUCAAACCUUAGAGGUGGCUGCUUCUGCCUCCUGACUGCUGGGAUUAAGGGUGCGUGGCAUUAUACCCAGCAUGUU
rnacentral:lncRNA from 1 species